rnacentral:rRNA from 1 species
AUUAGAUAGUUGGUGAGGUAAGGGCUCACCAAGUCGACGAUCGGUAGCCGACCUGAGAGGGUGAUCGGCCACAUUGGAACUGAGAUACGGUCCAAACUCCUACGGGAGGCAGCAGUGGGGAAUAUUGGGCAAUGGGCGAAAGCCUGACCCAGCAACGCCGCGUGAGGGAAGACGGUUUUCGGAUUGUAAACCUCUGUCCUCGGGGAAGAAGGAAGUGACGGUACCCGAGGAGGAAGCCCCGGCUAACUACGUGCCAGCAGCCGCGGUAAUACGUAGGGGGCGAGCGUUGUCCGGAAUGACUGGGCGUAAAGGGCGCGUAGGCGGUCAAAUAAGUCCGGAGUGAAAGUCCUGCUUUCAAGGUGGGAAUUGCUUUGGAUACUGUAUGACUUGAGUGCGGAAGAGGUAAGUGGAAUUCCCAGUGUAGCGGUGAAAUGCGUAGAGAUUGGGAGGAACACCAGUGGCGAAGGCGACUUACUGGGCCGUAACUGACGCUGAGGCGCGAAAGCGUGGGGAGCGAACAGGAUUAGAUACCCUGGUAGUCCACGCCGUAAACGAUGAGUGCUAGGUGUAGGGGGUAUCGACCCCUCCUGUGCCGUAGUAAACACAAUAA